GUCGCCGUCACAUAAAAUUGGCACAAUGUUUUUUGUCUAAAUUUUCUUAAAUAUCGACCGCGUUUACUAAAGAUCAUGUUUUUCAAUUAGCGGAUUACAAAUCCUGUCCAAAUAUCCACUUCUGUCCUACCUUUUAUUGUGUUUGCACUGUAUAUAGUGUUUCCUGCAGCUUUUAAAAAGGGCAGGGUAAUUGUUAGCUCAGAGGGCACAUUAAGCGCGAUGGACAACAAUUUUAGGGCACUUACUUAACAUAAACAGGCAAUUUCUAUAAAAUGGAUUCAUUUAAAACAUACUAGUUUAAUACUAUAAAAAGGACAUAUACAUCUGUAAUCAAUCAUUAAAACAAAUUGUUAA
rnacentral:lncRNA from 1 species